rnacentral:rRNA from 1 species
AGCGAACGCUGGCGGCAGGCCUAACACAUGCAAGUCGAACGAACUCUUCGGAGUUAGUGGCGGACGGGUGAGUAACACGUGGGAACGUGCCUUUUGGUUCGGAAUAACUCAGGGAAACUUGUGCUAAUACCGAAUGUGCCCUUCGGGGGAAAGAUUUAUCGCCAUUAGAGCGGCCCACGUCUGAUUAGCUAGUUGGUGAGGUAAAGGCUCACCAAGGCGACGAUCAGUAACUGGUCAGAGAGGAUGAGCAGCCACACUGGUACGGAGACACGGGCCAGACUCCUACGGGAGGCAGCAGUGGGGAAUAUUGGAGGAUGGGCGAAAGCCGGAUCCAGCCAUGCAGCGUGUUUGAAGAAGGUCUUCGGAGGGGAAAGAACGUGAAGUUGGGAGGAAGGGCAGUAAGUUAAUACCUUGCUGUCUUGACGUGACCAACAGAAUAAGCACCGGCUAACUUCGUG